GACGAACGCUGGCGGCGUGCUUAACACAUGCAAGUCGAACGGUAAGGCCCUUCGGGGUACACGAGUGGCGAACGGGUGAGUAACACGUGGGUGAUCUGCCCUGCACUUCGGGAUAAGCCUGGGAAACUGGGUCUAAUACCGGAUAGGACCAUUGCCUGCAUGGGUGGUGGCGGAAAGCUUUUGCGGUGUGGGAUGGGCCCGCGGCCUAUCAGCUUGUUGGUGGGGUGAUGGCCUACCAAGGCGACGACGGGUAGCCGGCCUGAGAGGGUGACCGGCCACACUGGGACUGAGAUACGGCCCAGACUCCUACGGGAGGCAGCAGUGGGGAAUAUCGCACAAUGGGCGCAAGCCUGAUGCAGCGACGCCGCGUGAGGGAUGACGGCCUUCGGGUUGUAAACCUCUUUCAGCACCGACGAAGCGCAAGUGACGGUAGGUGCAGAAGAAGGACCGGCCAACUACGUGCCAGCCGCCGCGGUAA
rnacentral:rRNA from 1 species